UACGUAGGGUGCGAGCGUUGAUCGGAAUUACUGGGCGUAAAGCGUGCGCAGGCGGUUUUGUAAGGCAGAUGUGAAAGCCCCGGGCUUAACCUGGGAAUGGCAUUUGGGACUGCAAGGCUUGAGUGCGGCAGAGGAGACUGGAAUUCCUGGUGUAGCAGUGAAAUGCGUAGAUAUCAGGAGGAAUACCGAUGGCGAAGGCAGGUCUCUGGGCUGACACUGACGCUCAUGCACGAAAGCGUGGGGAGCAAACAGG
rnacentral:rRNA from 1 species